CUACGGGGGCUGCAGUGGGGAAUAUUGGACAAUGGGGGAAACCCUGAUCCAGCAAUGCCGCGUGUGUGAAGAAGGCCUGCGGGUUGUAAAGCACUUUCGGUUGGGAGGACUGCUUCUAGCACUAAUUUUGUUGGAAGUUGACGUUACCUUCAGAAGAAGCACCGGCUAACUCCGUGGCCAGCAGCCGCGGUAAUACGGAGGGUGCAAGCGUUUAUCGGAAUUACUGGGCGUAAAGCGCGCGUAGGCGGCUAGAUCAGUCGGGUGUGAAAGCCCCGGGCUUAACCGGGGAACUGCAUCCGAUACUGUCUAGCUUGAGUACAGGAGAGGAGAGUGGAAUUCCACAUGUAGCGGUGAAAUGCGUAGAUAUGUGGAGGAACACCAAUGGCGAAGGCAGCUCUCUGGCCUGAUACUGACGCUGAGGUGCGAAAGCGUGGGGAGCAAACAGGAUUAGAUACCCCCGUAGUC
rnacentral:rRNA from 1 species